UGGUGCAGGCGCGCGCCGCCCAUUGUGCCAACCUGGUGGGCCGCCUGCUGGACAGCCGCCGACCGACCACCAGUGUCCACUACAGCAGGCACGUGACGGCGCUGGCCAAGCGGCUGGCGUCGGUAGACUUGAAGCAGCCGGACCUCUUGCCACCCGAGCUCACCAUGCGUCGCGUCUUCGGCAUAGACCGCGUCGGCGACCUCAUGACGGUGCUGCUGUACGACCGCGGCACGUGUCUGCAGCCGGAGACGAAGCGUGCCAUAUGCCGCGCCUUCCUGGCGGCCUCGCGCCAGGUGAUUGGCUGUCACCAGCGCGCCAACACUGAGUUCGCUAUGACCUACAUGAAGCUGAUGUUCCGCAGCG